GAUGAACGCUGGCGGCGUGCCUAAUACAUGCAAGUCGAGCGAACAGACGAGGAGCUUGCUCCUCUGACGUUAGCGGCGGACGGGUGAGUAACACGUGGAUAACCUACCUAUAAGACUGGGAUAACUUCGGGAAACCGGAGCUAAUACCGGAUAAUAUAUUGAACCGCAUGGUUCAAUAGUGAAAGACGGUUUUGCUGUCACUUAUAGAUGGAUCCGCGCCGCAUUAGCUAGUUGGUAAGGUAACGGCUUACCAAGGCAACGAUGCGUAGCCGACCUGAGAGGGUGAUCGGCCACACUGGAACUGAGACACGGUCCAGACUCCUACGGGAGGCAGUAGUAGGGAAUCUUCCGCAAAGGGCGAAAGCCUGACGGAGCAACGCCGCGUGAGUGAUGAAGGUCUUCGGAUCGUAAAACUCUGUUAUUAGGGAAGAACAAAUGUGUAAGUAACUAUGCACGUCUUGACGGUACCUAAUCAGAAAGCCACGGCUAACCACGUG
rnacentral:rRNA from 1 species